AUUGAACGCUGGCGGAAUGCUUUACACAUGCAAGUCGAACGGUAGAGGGGGCAACCCCUCGAGAGUGGCGAACGGGUGAGUAAUAUAUCGGAACGUGCCCAGUCGUGGGGGAUAACGUAGCGAAAGGUACGCUAAUACAGCAUACGAUCUAAGGAUGAAAGCGGGGGAUCGCAAGACAUCGCGCGAUUGGAGCGGCCGAUAUCAGAUUAGGUAGUUGGUGGGGUAAAGGCUCACCAAGCCAACGAUCUGUAGCUGGUCUGAGAGGACGACCAGCCACACUGGAACUGAGACACGGUCCAGACUCCUACGGGAGGCAGCAGUGGGGAAUUUUGGACAAUGGACGCAAGUCUGAUCCAGCCAUUCCGCGUGCAGGAUGAAGGCCCUCGGGUUGUAAACUGCUUUUGUACGGAACGAAAAGGUCUCUCUUAAUACGGGGGGCUCAUGACGGUACCGUAAGAAUAAGCACCGGCUAACUACGUGCCAGCCGCCGCCGUAA
rnacentral:rRNA from 1 species